rnacentral:lncRNA from 1 species
AAUGUAAGAAGAAAUGGCGAACUUCGAGAUACGUAUACCAGGAAAAAAAGGGAAAAUAAAACCAGAAGUGGUCAGGCAGCUUGUAAUACGAAGCAGUGGGAAUACAUGGAUUUAUUUGCCUUCCUGAAACCAAUUAACCCAUACGAAGUUUGCACGGCAUCAAAUAUUAACAACCAACCACCCACAGCUGAUGAUCCUGUAGAAAAUGAAAAUAAGCUUGAAGAGUUGCCUGAUGUCAUCACAGUCAGUGCACAAUGAAGAUUGCAAUUCUGACAGCCGUCAUGAUGUAACGCCAUCGGUUUCUGAAAGUACAACGGUGUCAACUCCAACAUCGCAGUGCCAACCCCCUUCCACGCCUCCUAUUGUGACCACAAGGAAGCGUGGAAGAACGACACAAGCAGACGAUUUGAGAAAAUCGCUGACAGAAUAUAUUCAACUUAAAAAAAAAAUUGCGAGUAACAGCAUACACCAACCACACGAGGGAAAAAAAUAUGAUAGAACAUCAGAGGAUACCUUUUUUGAGAGUUGUGCUUUAAGAAUGAAAAAGAUUACCUGAAGAGGUUAAGUCUGUACUACAGCUUCAAAUUUCUCAAUUAUUCCAUAAUGCUAAAAACAGAAAUCUACCACCUCAACAGAUCACACCUCUUCCAUGGCAAAGUCAUUUGAUUUUAGGGCGAGCCCCCACCUAUACUUACCCAAAUUUGACCACCAAUGCAGUGAAUUCAAACGAUAUCAUUGGUGAAUCAAUGCGACUUGCCAAUAUGUGAGCGUUUAUCUCCCAUUCAUGAUGUAGUAACAUUCAU